rnacentral:sRNA from 1 species
AGGAAUGAACAUACUGAAUUCUGAACUUGACUUCAUCGCGAACGGCUUAUGUUCAAGCACUGACCAAAUCGCGCGCGAUCAAUUUGAUAUCCUCCGAAAGCAAUUAGCUAGGCUCCUUCAAGAGCUUUUGUGUUGUCAUGGGGAUUUGAUCGACCCCGUGUCACUCGGAAGCGCUGAAUCAUACCUAGACACGCUUGUUCGUGAUUCAGACCUCAGCGGUCUUGUCAAUACCCAAAUACCACCACUUAAAUUGCGAGAUAAUUCUGACAAACUUCACUAUUUCAAUGAAUUUGCGUCGAGGUCAUUCAAUAAAAUUGUAUCUUCUUUAGUUGGCAUAUGUGGUAAAACGGGCACUACUAAUCACCUUCAACUGGGAGCCGCCUGUAUCCACCUUGCUAUGGCAUGCCUUCGGUUCUUUGUCCCAAACAGACCUUUCGACCCAUCCCUUGGCUCGGCUGUUCAGAGACACCGAUACACACAACGCGCCCAGGAGAAAAAUAAGAAGCUUAAUGCAUUGAAAGCAUAUGAAUUAUCAUUUUCUGGGCAAGAGUCGAGCUUACGUAUUCGGAUCGCUCAAGAGGAGCUCCGGUUGUUGGGUGACAUACCACCUUCGCCCCC